GCCUCUCCCCGCCAACCCUGCCCGGAGCGCCAGCGAUGCCCUCUGCCCGCGGGGACCCGAGCCUCGCGCGCCCUCCGCCCUCCCUACCCUGGCCCCUGUACCCAUCACACCUGGGGCACUGCCGUCCGCCGAGCUUGGGCGCGCGGCGGCGAGAAGGCACUGGAGGAGGAGAAGCAGCCGGGGCGUAGGUGGCCCGGCACCCGCAGCCAGUGCCGCGGGCAGGACGCUGAAGAAAAGGCGGAAUGGGAGGGGCCCGGCCGCCUUGCCCUACUCCCCGAGACGCUCUUACCGCGCCCGGCCUUCCAUCAGUUAUGCAGCCCUCAGCCCGCUGCUGGCGUUCCCGGAUGUGCGGUGCUACUCCCGGCUGCAGCCUCUCCGGCCUCCGCCCUCUAGGCUCUAGCAGGUCGGGAGAGAGCUUGGGCAGGUGAUGUGUAGCCCAUCGCGUGGGGAGAGGUUGAAACUAUCCCUGCAGACUGGCCUUUGCACUUCAUCUGAGGCAGAUUUCACUAAUUUUCGUUGAUGGGACAGAUGAGAGACACUUUCCUCCUCCCCGACCCCGGACAUCUUUGGGCUUUCUUAUGAGGGAGGCUUAUUUUUGCGCAGGUGUAAGGUUUUAUCCAGCUGCCAGACAACUUGUACUGAUCUUUCUUUGCUUUGCCUACUAAUCACACACACCCUCUCUUCUAGCCUGUGAAGACUUAACUGAUUUUCUACGGAUGAAGGUUUCAGUGUCCCAAGGCCCCAUACCGUAUCUGAUUUUACUUUAUUUUUGUUUGUUAAGCCUAACAGCUUCUGAGGAGCCACGUAGAGCUCAAGAAGCAAAAGCUACUGAGAGUAGAUGCUAUGUAAACUGCACAAGACGUUGACCUUUGUUAAAUCCGAACACUGUUUAAGAUAAUGCUAUCUCUUACCCACGAGGCUGUAGCUUGGAAUAUUCAGUGCUCUGAACCAAAUUAAAUAAAUUAGUGCUUUAUCCGGGAGGGGAGGAGAAAUCUAUGUUGUAACAUUGAAACACAUUGAUUUGAUUUCUCUCCAGGAUGUUAUAACGCAUUAAAAGAUAUUUUAAAUAUUUUUCACGAGCUUUGUUUCCUCUCCCUUUAUUUUUUGAAGUUCAGCUUUCACAUUCGUAAAU
rnacentral:lncRNA from 1 species